rnacentral:rRNA from 1 species
UACGGGGGGAGCAAGCGUUGUUCGGAUUUACUGGGCGUAAAGGGCGCGUAGGCGGCCACCGCAAGUCGACUGUGAAAUCUCCGGGCUUAACCCGGAAAGGUCAGCCGAUACUGCGGGGCUAGAGUGCAGAAGGGGCAACUGGAAUUCUCGGUGUAGCGGUGAAAUGCGUAGAUAUCGGGAGGAACACCUGUGGCGAAGGCGGCCCCCUGGUUGGAUACUGACGCUGAGACGCGAAAGCGUGGGGAGCAAACAGG